GAGGGUAUAACUCAGUGGUAGAGGGUGUGCUUAACAUGCACAAGGUCCUCGGUUCAAUCCUCAGUACCUCCA
rnacentral:tRNA from 1 species